UCCUCGUUCGUCCAGUGGUUAGGAUACUGCUCUUUCAUUUCUGGCAUGGACGCUUGCGGCAUGUGCCGUAGUUCUCCAUGGGAGACAGCAGCGGCCCGGGUUCGAUCCCCGGACGGGGAA